AGGGGAAAUUACAAGGUUACUGCUAAUAAUCUUUUGUCGGUUAAUUCCGACUUCUCCUU
rnacentral:tRNA from 4 species